UUGAGUAAUGUGUAAUGUCAUUAAGAGAAAAACACUGGUUGCUACGAGAAACCCAUAUGCUUUUAAAAUGAGGACUAUUCAUCAUGGUAAUUUUGUCAUUGUUUUACUUAAAGUGACACUAUUUGCAUCUGGCACCUGUUUGACGAUUAGCUCAAGAGCAUUAAUUUAAAGAGGAACUCGGGCUUAAUGAGGAAAACUGAUGAGGUUUCUAUUGCCAGUUACAUCACUGGGAUCAUCAAUAAUAUUACGCACGUGUCAAUUUGCACAAAAUUAGACGGACUAGCUGGUCAAAAGUGUGACAUCUAUGUAAUGCUCCAGACUAAGUUUUAAGAAACAAAGCAUGCACGUAUGGAGGGGAUAUUUAGUGGUCAUCUCAUUAAAAAGUUGUCGGUGAGUAAAAAGCCUUUUGCCAAGACCUCUGGGCUGGUGUGUGUUUCUGGACUGCAUCUAUUCAGAAUCUGAAAUGAAACAGAUGAGCUUGUUAGCACAGAUGAAAACACCCACUAAUGAAGACCGGUGCAGUCCAAAGGGAUACAUUUUGUUCGAUUUCUCAGAAAACAAGACUUCAUAUGUUCAGUUUGCAUCCCAACUUUGGGAUGGAUCGAUGGAUGGAUGGAUGGAGAUCCUCAAUGUGCUCUCGAGACUUUUGAAACCUGAACCCAAACAGAAUUUCUCUUGGGACAUAUUGACAGAGUUUUAUUUAAGAGAGCAGCUGUAGCAAACAGGAAAUCCUUCCUGCCUGUUACUUAGCAACAAGUCCAAUUCGAAUAUUCUCCACCUGCUGAAUAUUGACAGUGUAAAUGACUGUUUGAGGAUGAGGAAGACGAUAUGCUCAAAGUAUGACACACUCAUUGUGUGCUAGUGAACCUCCCCCCCCCCCCAAAGCAGCCCUUCACCGCAAUCGAAACCUAUUUAAAAAAGAUUACAUUUUCCUAUAUUGCCAUUUUUCACUUGACUGCCUGCUUGAAGCAUACAAACAUGAAUGUAUUAAUGACUCCAAUAAUAAAUGUAAUCUAUUUUAAGGGUCAUAUUCAUAAUUCGCAGUGAGAGAGAU